rnacentral:rRNA from 2 species
ACGGAAGGCAGCAGUGGGGAAUAUUGCACAAUGGGGGAAACCCUGAUGCAGCGACGCCGCGUGAGUGAAGAAGUUAUUCGUAAUGUAAAGCUCUAUCAGCAGGGAAGAAAAUGACGGUACCUGACUAAGAAGCCCCGGCUAACUACGUGCCAGCAGCCGCGGUACUACGUAGGGGGCAAGCGUUAUCCGGAUUUACUGGGUGUAAAGGGAGCGUAGACGGUCUGGCAAGUCUGAUGUGAAAGGCAGGGGCUCAACUCCUGGACUGCAUUGGAAACUGUCAGUCUUGAGUGUCGGAGAGGUAAGCGGAAUUCCUAGUGUAGCGGUGAAAUGCGUAGAUAUUAGGAGGAACACCAGUGGCGAAGGCGGCUUACUGGACGAUAACUGACGUUGAGGCUCGAAAGCGUGGGGAGCAAACAGGAUUAGAUACCCUGGUA